UACGUAGGGGGCAAGCGUUGUCCGGAAUUAUUGGGCGUAAAGAGCGCGUAGGCGGUCCGAUAAGUCGGCUGUGAAAGUCAAGGGCUCAACCCUUGAAAGCCGGCCGAUACUGUCGGACUAGAGUCCGGAAGAGGCGAGUGGAAUUCCCGGUGUAGCGGUGAAAUGCGCAGAUAUCAGGAGGAACACCGGUGGCGAAGGCGGGUCUCUGGGCCGAAAUUGACGCUGAGGAGCGAAAGCGUGGGGAGCGAACAGG
rnacentral:rRNA from 1 species